rnacentral:rRNA from 1 species
UGACGUGCAAAUCGUUUGUCAAACCUGGGUAUAGGGGCGAAAGACUAAUCGAACCAUCUAGUAGCUGGUUCCCUCCGAAGUUUCCCACAGGAUAGCUUGAACGCAACGGUUUUGUCAGGUAAAGCGAAUGAUUAGAGGCCUUGGGGCUGAAACAGCCUUAACCUAUUCUCAAACUUUAAAUGGGCAAGAGGUCCGGGAUGCUUGAGUGAUCCCGGGCGGCGAACGGCGCGUUCAAAGUGGGCCAUUUUUGGUAAGCAGAACUGGCGAUGAGGGAUGAACCUAUUGUCGAGCUACUGUGUUUCACACCAUGAGCAUCAGAUGCCAGAAAGGGUGUUGGUUCAUCUUAACAGCAGGACAGUGGUCAUGGAAGUCGAAAUCUGCUAAGGAGUGUGUAACAACUCACCUGCCGAAUGAAGCAGCCCCGAAAAUGG